GGUGCCCCUGGAAGUGUUGCUGGUGUGGCUGCUGCAUCUCAUGUGUGCUAGUAGGUGGCUAAGAGGAAAGAGACAUGUCUGCCCUCAGGGUUCUGACCUGUGAAUAUCUGAAUGAUUGAUUAACAGCCUAACACU
ensembl:snoRNA Gm23555 predicted gene, 23555